UUGAAUCCAAUUCAUAAAGGUGCUUGUGUCUUGAACAUGAGUUAAAAGGGAAGCCGGUUGAAUUCCGGCGCGGUCCCGCCACUGUAAGUGAGAGUCAUCUGAAAAAGCCAUUGAAGCGAUGCUUCGGGAAGAUUCAGAAGGCGAUGAUCACGAGCCAGGAGACCUGCCUUUAUGCGGAUGCCCGU
rnacentral:ncRNA from 1 species